CACAAGCGGUGGAUGAUGUGGUUUAAUUCGAUGCAACGCGAAAAACCUUACCUACCCUUGACAUGUCAAGAAUUUUGCAGAGAUGUGAAAGUGCUCGAAAGAGAACUUGAACACAGGUGCUGCAUGGCCGUCGUCAGCUCGUGUCGUGAGAUGUUGGGUUAAGUCCCGCAACGAGCGCAACCCUUGUCAUUAGUUGCUACCGCAAGGAGCACUCUAAUGAGACUGCCGGUGACAAACCGGAGGAAGGUGGGGAUGACGUCAGGUCCUCAUGGCCCUUAUGGGUAGGGCUACACACGUCAUACAAUAGCCGGUACAGAGGGCUGCCAACCCGCGAGGGGGAGCCAAUCCCAGAAAACCGGUCGUAGUCCGGAUCGUAGUCUGCAACUCGACUGCGUGAAGUCGGAAUCGCUAGUAAUCGCGGAUCAGCUUGCCGCGGUGAAUACGUUCCCGGGCCUU
rnacentral:rRNA from 1 species